rnacentral:misc_RNA from 1 species
GAUCUCGGCAUUUUUUACCGCAGUCGGCGGCGGCUUCUAUGCCGCGUUCGUCUCCUAUAUCGAUCCGGACAGCGUGAUGCAUUUCCGUUUCUCGCUGCUCAUGGCGCUGCCUGCCGUGCUCGGCGGGGUCGGAUCGNGGUCGGCUCGCUGUGGGGGCCGGCGAUCGGCGCGCCGAUCCUGAUCCCGCUGGCCGAGCUGACGCGCUCCUAUCUUGGCGGUUCGGGCUCCGGUCUUGACCUCGUGAUCUAUGGCGGGCUGGUCAUGAUCGUGUCGCUCACGCGGCC